rfam:Triticum aestivum genome assembly, contig: Triticum_aestivum_CS42_TGACv1_scaffold_456978_5DS
UAUGUACUCCCUCCGUCCCAAAUUACUUGUCUUAGAUUUGUUUAGAUGCAGAUGUAUCUAACGUGUCUAGAUACGAAUGUACCUAGACAAAUUUAAGACAAGUAAUUUGGGACGGAGGUAGUAUUUG